rnacentral:rRNA from 1 species
GGAUUAGAUACCCUGGUAGUCCUUGCUGUAAACGAUGUGUACUUGAUGUAGUUAGGCUCAACCCUAACUGUGUCGAAGCUAACGCGAUAAGUACACCGCCUGGGGAGUACGCCCGCAAGGGUGAAACUCAAAAGAAUUGACGGGGGCCCGCACAAGCAGUGGAGCAUGUGGUUUAAUUCGAUGCAACGCGAAGAACCUUACCCAGGCUUGACAUGUAGUGGACCGGUCUAGAGAUAGACUUUUCCUUCGGGACCGCUAUACAGGUGCUGCAUGGCUGUCGUCAGCUCGUGCCG